ensembl:lncRNA
UUGGGAGCUCCCUCCUGGGUGAAAAUAGUUAAGUGGGUUUUUUUUAUUCAAGUCUCUAUAAAUGAACGACAACAUUUUAUUUCAUAAUAAAAAACAUAACUUCAGUUUAACCAAAGCAGCUAUGUAGCAGAUUUCAAAUGGUUGACUGCGUUGUGACGACAGACACAGGCUGGCUGGAAACUUGAUUUAUUUCUAAAAGACAAAGUGCAGCACCAAAAUCAGUGUCACACAGCAACAGCAGGCCUCUCUUCAUCCAAGUGUGGAGUCCAUGCAGCUCUGGCUCACAAUAUAUAUAAAAGAAAAUACAGUCUAUCAAAACAAUGGUGUGGUUUCUCUCAACAGCCACUUUAAAAUCAAAUGUAAUAGUGGGGUAAAACAGAGACAAAUAUGAAGCAAGGUGUAGUCAAAAAUAAGCCACUAAUAAUAACUUGUAAUAUUUAAAUCCCCACUAAGAUGGAUCAAUUACACAAUACAUAUUCAAACAACUAACUUUUCCCAACAUGGCUGAAAAUACUAUUCAGUGUGCAGCCUCAGAUCAUGAACUCAUUAUACACAUACCUAAAAGACAAAGUGCCGCACCAAAAUCAGUGUCACACAGCAACAGCGGGCUUCUCCUCUCCUCUCCCUGUUUAGCGCAAGUAAGGAACACAUAAACGGAUGGUGUAACAGAUAAAAGGCAGUUCCAAUUACUAUUUUCCUCGUUCAAAGAAAUCAAAAACACUUUGGGAGCUUUUAGCCAUAAGAACUAAUACUUAGCAAAGAAAAAUACACCAAAUUUAAAUGCAUAAUUUAGUACAGGGAGAGGAGCUACAGAAAGUGUACAUCACCAGUGUGGAGUCCAUGCAGCUCUGGCUGGGAACCCCCACACAUGCAGCAUGUUUACAAGUGGUGUCAUACUGAUUACUGCCCCACUUCAACAGUGACAUAUGGAACCUUAGUUUUACAAAAAUUAAAUUUACACAAUUAAAAAAUUUACUAUAUAGAAUACAGUUUUGAGAAUGUUCACACUUAGUAUAUUAUAUCUCAGCUACAGCUGCAACAUUUUUUUCUUUUAUUAACAAAUUACACAAUGACAAACUUAUCUGGAAUCAAACACUUUCAAUCUUUUUGUCCUUAAUUGAAAAUUACAACAAUAUUGUGUACAAUUAGUACAACAUGACUUUUACAAUUAGUAAAAGUAUUGUUGGCUGUGUAUGUUCAAUAAUGCUGACUGUUACAAACUUUACUGAGACUCUAGGAUGGCACUGAACACUACAUCAAAGGCCAGUCCACCAAACCAUAAACCUCCAGUCUAACCUAAAUUUACAAAGUAACAUUUUAUCAAAUUAAACCAAGAUAAAGGAAAAAUGGUAGCAAAUUGACUUCAAGUUCUUUCUAGAAAGACAAUGAAAAGAAAUGGUACAUGCAGGGGGAAGAAUGUAAAUAAAAUGGCUGAAAAUGACUAUUAAUCUUGCGCUUCCUUGCAGGGAUAUUUAAGCAAACACAACAGUACAGGAAUUUUACUUUCUCAAGAAUAUAUUUGAUAAUAAUGAUGUCUUGUGAAUCAGAUUUUCAACUUAGAAAGCAGAGCUUGUAGGCCAAUUCCCAAUGUUUUUCUUUCCCUUUCUUUCUCCCCUUUCUUUUCGCCAGCAAAAAAACAACAACAAACAAAAACAAAAACAAAAAACCCCAAAACAAAACAAAAACAAAAACAACAAAAACAAACAAAAACAAAAAAAAGGAAAGUAGGACCUGUGGAACACAAAACAAAUAAAUAAAUACAAUUUUUAAAAAACACUCUGUUGUUCAGUCUCCUCACACAUGCGAAAUAAAUAAUAGAAAGUCUUUGGAUUUAAACUUACUGAAUAUUAUGUCGAUCAUCAUUUUUUCCAAGAUUCUUCUCUAAAGGUUUUCCAUGUGUUCUGAAACAUUUAUCUGUGCUUGUGGAAGUUGCUGGGGGUCUGGCAGUGCAUUCUGAGCUCUAGAGCAAAGUCACAAUUUUUACUCACAAUAUACUACUCUUGUGCAAUUGGUGCACUGGAGAUAUUACUGUAACUAUAUUCGGCUCUCGUGUCCCUAAUGACAGAUGAUGUAUUUUUAAACAAAUAGAAGCACAAGAAAUUAAAAUUACACAUACUAACCUUACCAAUGCAGUUCUAAAGUUCACAAAUAAAAAAGAAAAGUAUUAGACAUUAUUUUGUGUGCAUUUAAUCUUUGUUAUACUUUGAAUAAUUACCUGCAUGAAUGAGCAAUUAGGUUCUAAAAGCUUUUCUAUGUCUUUCACACUGUCAGAGAGUGAAAGGAUGUCUCUGUGGAGAUCUGUCAACCUCUGCUUUGUAUUAAUCUUUUGAGUCUCCUCUUCUUUUAAUGCUGCUAUUCUGGCUUCUUCCUCUCUCCCCAGGAAGAGUCUAAGCUUCUGAUAGUCCUCCCGAAUCUUCUUCUCUGCGUCAUUCCUCUGAGUCUGUUACAGAAAAA